CUGCUGCCUUCCGUAGGAGUUUGGACCGUGUCUCAGUUCCAAUGUGGGGGACCUUCCUCUCAGAACCCCUAUCCAUCGAUGCCUUGGUGGGCCGUUACCCCGCCAACAAGCUAAUGGAACGCAUCCCCAUCGAUGACCGAAAUUCUUUAAUAGUUCUACCAUGCGGAAGAACUAUGCCAUCGGGUAUUAAUCUUUCUUUCGAAAGGCUAUCCCCGAGUCAUCGGCAGGUUGGAUACGUGUUACUCACCCGUGCGCCGGUCGCCAUA
rnacentral:rRNA from 1 species